AAAAAAUAAAAGCUUCAGAGGAAACGUUUCCACAGACGGUUCAUCACCUCUCCCGAAAUUUUCCUUCUCGAAUUUUCUGGAGAAAAAAAAAAAUUUCAAAGAUUAUUGCAAGUGGAAGUUGACGACAUUCUUAUGAACUUGGAAAGCGCUUAAAUCGGAGUAGAAUCUUCGUUUAGUAUGUGGGUGUGAAGAAACCGACCAUUGACAAGUGUGAAUUCAACGGCUAAAGAAGUAGCAACAAAAAAAAAACAGAUAAGUUCUUUUAUUGCUGCUUUGGUUUUGGUUUUAUCAGACUCCAGAAAGAUCAUAGGCAGACACUAAUCUAUGGUGUUCUGCCAGAUUCUUAUUUGGGGACAUUGUCCCGAGUCCCUACUGCGUGAAAGUUUAGACCCAGAGGAAAUUCAACCAUUGUUGGUAGUAAGUACCCACGGCUUUUCAAAAACAACCAUCGGCUUAAAAAGAAGAAGUAAUUAGACAGAAAAUAGCUAUGUCUAGCUAUGAAAAUGAUGGAUGGAAAAGGACCAUCGGCUUACAAAAUGUCUUUAGACAAAGUCUAUUAAUUGGUUUUGAGCUUGUUGGAUGGAAAUAACGACCACAAGUGAUGAAAAACUAAUUGUCCCGAGUCCCUAUUGUGAGCUUGUUGGAUGGAAAUAACGACCACAAGUGAUGAAAACUAAUUGUCCUGUGUCCCUAUUGAGCUUGUUGGAUGGAAAUAACGACCACAAGUGAUGAAAACUAAUUGUCA